GAUGGCUGACUAAAAGUAGAGCUUGAUGACUGGAGUAACAUGCGCAUCUGCGUUGACGCGAAGUUGAUUGAUCCAGGCUGCAAUAGAGUGUAGAUCAGUCGGAGGAGAAAUCCAAACUUCAGCAGCAAAAAGCUCCCAUAUCAAGCGAGAGAAAGAGCACUCAAAGAAGAGAUGAUGGUGAGUCUCUAUUUCCAGAUUACAAAGGAUGCACGUUCCUGAGACAUUUAACCCCC
rnacentral:lncRNA from 1 species